rnacentral:lncRNA from 1 species
AAACCUUUCAUUCUGCAAACGCCAUGGAACCCUAAGCAAAAUAUAUUCCACCGCCCAAAAACAGCUAUACAUUUUGAAAAGGAUACAGACUCCUCAAACUAUGAGUACCCACAAAGGGGAAAAACAAUCAAUACACACAAAGGAAAGAAAGAAGAAAAAAACUAUGUCCUUCCUCAAGUCGAGCUCACAUAAAUGAUAGGCAUCAGAAGAAAAUUUAAUGCUCUUUUCUUUUCAUUAUUUUGGGUACAUAACAGAAAAAUCCACAGAGAGUGGAUUAAGUUGCCUCUCAGUAAAUAAAAACCAGUCGAUAGGUACACAUGGAUUUUGGAAGUCGUUGCAUGAUAGCCAUUAAAGAACCACCUCCUUUCACAGGUCGCAAACAUCAAUUGCCUUUUGUGAAAGC